rnacentral:lncRNA from 1 species
ACAUAAACAAAAAUUUGUGACGUGUUUGUCUAGGAAUUUGUCGGAUUUUUUGGCUUUUCAAGUCGGUGGUUUUCAUAUUUCUGCACUUAUUUGACUCUAAACUUACAAGCAAUUUGCAUAUUAUCUGCCCUAGAACCAUUGAGGAUUUAAUUUAUUAAGGAACAUUUGUCGCAACGAAUAUUCAACUCCAUCUCAUGUCACUUUCAGGAUGGACCCUCUUUAGUGUCUCCUUGUCUCAUUUUGCCUCGAAUUUUCACCUCAUACCUUGUGAUACGGAGCUCAAGAUGCGGGGUAUCAUCACAUUACAUGCAUUCAUGUUCGUCUGUUAUCUGGCUCUGGUUAAUGCUCAAUGGGAUUGGGAAAUCCAUGUCUACCCGGAUCCAAACUACGGUGGCACUAGUGAGAGAGUGUCGGGCAACACGAAUAACUGGUGUCAACCAGUUGUAUACGUCACUGGCGUUAGCUCCAUUGACUUCGGAAAUAACAGAGGCUGCAUUGGGCAUUUUUUGAGCUUUUAUCCGGAUCAAAAUUGCGCACUCCCGGCACUUGUUGGAGGCCAAAACUGUUCCACUCCACAAGUUCCAAAAUUCGCAGACAAUAAAAUUCGAGGCGUAAUGUGGGAUAGAUUUGCAUAAAUAUUCCUUUAACUCCAUCAAGGCGAACUAUCACAAUAUAUUCAGCAACUGUGUGCUUUUUCUCGACCUUUUGAGGACGAUUCCAUACUCCAUCUAUCAACUGAUAAUUUGUGGAUUUCAAGACUCUUUUUGGUUUCUAUGUGAUCUUAAUCCAAUUGUGGCUUUCCGUCUUUGAAUUCUCUGUUUAUUUUCCCAAAGCGUUUGUUUUUUCUCGAAAAGUAAUCUUGGGUGGUAGAUGAAAGUGUGGAAAUAAACAUCCUUCAUUUAUUGCAAAAUGGAUGCAAGUCAUAUAUUAUUUCUAAUAUGUCUUCAUUAUUUUCGCGUCUACCACGCAGGCUUAAUGCCCAUGGAACGUUCGCGCUUUCAAAAAAAAAGUCCCAUACUUAGAUAGAAGAAAAUCCAUCAGCUUUAAAAAAAUGUCCCAUACUUAGAAAUAAGAAAAUCCAUCAAAUUGUGUGUGUUGACCAGUUUUGAGCGUUCACCACGUUAGUGAUUUACGCUCUUUCCGGCCGUUUUGCAGCGGGUAUUUCUACAAUUCUACACUUCUGGCAGCUGAAGUUUUCAGGGAUACGGAACAAAGUUUUCGUCCGUGCAU